rnacentral:rRNA from 1 species
UACGUAGGGUGCGAGCGUUAAUCGGAAUUACUGGGCGUAAAGCGUACGUAGGCGGCUUGUUAAGCAAGAUGUGAAAUCCCUGGGCUCAACCUAGGAAUUGCGCUUGUGACUGGCGGGCUCGAGUACGGUAGAGGGGGGUGGAAUUCCUGGUGUAGCAGUGAAAUGCGUAGAGAUCAGGAGGAACACCGAUGGCGAAGGCAGCCCCCUGGGCCUGUACUGACGCUCAUGCACGAAAGCGUGGGGAGCAAACAGG